ACGAGGUAAAUAGUUGUUUCAAUGGAGGCAGUCGCAAUUCCACACAACAUACUCAUCGGAUUCGAUUAGCUAUGCGUAUAUUUGCUAUACACACGCUUUAGAAUUUAUUCUCCUUUCAACACUGUGAACAAAUCAGAGUGUAUCAAACAUGUCGUUUUUGAAUGUGCAUUGAAUGUCUUAUCAUGGGAUGUUGCACUUUCUGCGUUAAAAAUUUAUUACUGCUUCGUGCUGUAAUUAUUUUUUUACACACACACACACACACAUACGCACAUGUUGUAUGCCACGUAAAUAAUUUUUAACGGUUAAAAAUGUCGAUGGGGAUAGUUGGAGUCAACAGUACUGCUGGGCGAGAGGUGAAAUUCAUUGACCCUAGCAAGACUACCAAAAGCGAAAGCAGUUGGCUAGGCUAUACUCUUUGUGAUUAUAUAUAUUUUAUCACGCAUAAAUAUACACACACACACAUACACACUCACGUAUAUACAUGCGGUCAGUAUAAAUAUAUACACUUUACAAUGAAGAACGAAGGUUGGGGGAUCAAAGAGGAUCAGAUACCCUCGUCGUCCCAUUAAUUACAUCAAACGAUGGGCUCUCAAUUGCAUUUUCUCGUAAAUUGCAAAUUUCCUCAGCCUACAAAAUGAAUUGGCUUGAGCUCGUAUUAUAAUACGCACGCUCGCCUCUUUUCGUACGGUCUCGAUGGACGUUUCAUUUAUAUUUUUUUGCGUGUAAGCAUUAUGUUAUUCUUUGAAACAUAAGAAUGCAUUGCGUGCACUUGAUUUUCGGAGCUUUGCGCUCAAUUCUGGUGAGAUGUAAGCACUGUGUCAUAUUACCCGCAGCGUAUAUUUCCGACUUUUCGUUUCUGUCUGUGCAGUUGACAAUCUUGGUGUGAAGCACGCAUUAGGCACGCGCUUACUGCAGAAAUGUCUGAGACACUCUCCUCCGGGGGAAGUAUGUACGCAAGUAUGAAACUUGAAGGAAUUGACGGAAGGGCACCACAAGAACGCGUGGAGCAUGUGGCUUAAUUUGACUCAACGCGGGAAAUCUUACCGGGUCCGGACACACUGAGGAUUGACAGGCAAUAUUAAUAAUUUUAUGUGCAUCUCACGUUAGAAAUUUUGUUAAAUAUGCUAGUCCUUUCAUGAUUAUGUGAUAGGUGGUGCAUGGCCGUUCUUAGUUCGUGGAGUGAUCUGUCUGCUUAAUUGCGUUUCACUAAGGGCCUAUAAAUUCACGUAUGUUGCGACACUUUGACCCCUCCUCUGUGUGCGUGCGUCUUUGUUUGUUUAGCUCAUACAAUUAGGUCCUGAAAGCAACGAACGUGACCGCAUCCUCUUGUUGCUUUUUGAUUGUGUGUGUACUCGAGGAGUCACACAAGUAUUUUUAUGCACAGAAAGCCUUUUAAACUAGAGGGACCGCUGUUACUUUCUUAAACCAGAGGAAGGUUGCGGCAAUAACAGGUCUGUGAUGCCCUUAGAUGUUCCGGGCUGCACACGUGCUACAAUGAUUAUUGCAGUGAGCAUCUCAUUUUAUUAUUCACACCGCAUGCGCCGAGACCAUUAUUCUCCUCUUCGCGAGUGUUUUAAAUGUGUAUCUCUGCGCGCGGUAAAGCCUACUUCGAAAGUAAGCGGGUAAUCAAUUAGAAGUAAUGAUUUCCUAUAUUUUAUUGUAUCACACACUCUCGUAUGGUAUAAUAAUUCUGCACACAUAUAUACGGCAUCUUUACCCGUUUAGCUCCGUAUGUGCGAUUGUCAAUUCAUGGUGGGGACAGACCAUUGUUAAUUGUUGGUCUCGGUCUUAACUAGGAAUGCCUUGUACUGGUCUUUGGUUCAACAAACCACCAGGAAUACGUCCCUGCCCUUUGUACACACCGCCCGUCGCUCUUACCGAUGGACUUCUCUGUGAGUUUGAGGACUGGGAACGCAUAUAAUUUCGAUUAUUUGCACACCUAUGGAAACUUAAACGAACAGUGUGGUCUAAAGGAAAGAGAAGUCGUAAC
rnacentral:rRNA from 1 species